AGAGACAGCAGCAGCCGCGGUAAUACGUAGGUCCCGAGCGUUGUCCGGAUUUAUUGGGCGUAAAGCGAGCGCAGGCGGUUAGAUAAGUCUGAAGUUAAAGGCUGUGGCUUAACCAUAGUACGCUUUGGAAACUGUUUAACUUGAGUGCAAGAGGGGAGAGUGGAAUUCCAUGUGUAGCGGUGAAAUGCGUAGAUAUAUGGAGGAACACCGGUGGCGAAAGCGGCUCUCUGGCUUGUAACUGACGCUGAGGCUCGAAAGCGUGGGGCGCAAACAGGAUUAGAUACCCGCGUAGUCCCUGUCUCUUAUACC
rnacentral:rRNA from 1 species